rnacentral:rRNA from 1 species
AGAGUGGGGGAUAACGAAGCGAAAGCUUUGCUAAUACCGCAUACGAUCUCAGGAUGAAAGCAGGGGACCGCAAGGCCUUGCGCUCACGGAGCGGCCGAUGGCAGAUUAGGUAGUUGGUGGGAUAAAAGCUUACCAAGCCGACGAUCUGUAGCUGGUCUGAGAGGACGACCAGCCACACUGGGACUGAGACACGGCCCAGACUCCUACGGGAGGCAGCAGUGGGGAAUUUUGGACAAUGGGCGCAAGCCUGAUCCAGCCAUGCCGCGUGCAGGAUGAAGGCCUUCGGGUUGUAAACUGCUUUUGUACGGAACGAAAAGACUCCUUCUAAUAAAGGGGGUCCAUGACGGUACCGUAAGAAUAAGCACCGGCUAACUACGUGCCAGCAGCCGCGGUAAUACGUAGGGUGCGAGCGUUAAUCGGAAUUACUGGGCGUAAAGCGUGCGCAGGCGGUGAUGUAAGACAGAUGUGAAUCCCCGGGCUCAACCUGGGAACUGCAUUUGUGACUGCAUCGCUGGAGUGCGGCAGAGGGGGAUGGAAUUCCGCGUGUAGCAGUGAAAUGCGUAGAUAUGCGGA